rnacentral:rRNA from 1 species
UACGAAGGUGGCUAGCGUUGUUCGGAUUUACUGGGCGUAAAGCGCACGUAGGCGGAUCGUUAAGUUAGGGGUGAAAUCCUGGAGCUCAACUCCAGAACUGCCUCUAAUACUGGCGAUCUAGAGUCCGGAAGAGGUAAGUGGAACUCCUAGUGUAGAGGUGGAAUUCGUAGAUAUUAGGAAGAACACCAGUGGCGAAGGCGGCUCACUGGUCCGGUACUGACGCUGAGGUGCGAAAGCGUGGGGAGCAAACAGG